UACGUAGGGUGCAAGCGUUGUCCGGAAUUAUUGGGCGUAAAGAGCUUGUAGGCGGUUUGUCGCGUCUGCUGUGAAAUUUCGGGGCUCAACCCCGAACUUGCAGUGGGUACGGGCAGACUAGAGUGUGGUAGGGGGAGACUGGAAUUCCUGGUGUAGCGGUGAAAUGCGCAGAUAUCAGGAGGAACACCGAUGGCGAAGGCAGGUCUCUGGGCCAUAACUGACGCUGAGAAGCGAAAAGCAUGGGGGAGCAAACAGG
rnacentral:rRNA from 1 species